AGAGUUUGAUCCUGGCUCAGGAUGAACGCUGGCGGCGUGCUUAACACAUGCAAGUCGAACGGUGACAGCGAUGUCACAGUGGCGCACGGGUGAGGAACACGUAGCUAACCUGCCCUCAAGUAUGGGAUAACUUCCCGAAAGGGAUGCUAAUACCGUAUAAGCUCACGGGGAGUAAGUACCAGUGAGAAAAGGUUUACUGCUUGAGGAGGGGGCUGCGGCCCAUCAGGUAGUUGGUGAGGUAACGGCUCACCAAGCCGACGACGGGUAGGGGGUCUGAGAGGAUGGCCCCCCACACUGGGACUGAGACACGGCCCAGACUCCUACGGGAGGCAGCAGUGAGGGAUCUUGCGCAAUGGGGGAAACCCUGACGCAGCGACGCCGCGUGGGUGAUGAAGGCCUUCGGGUCGUAAAACCCUUUUGCCACUGACGAGGAAGGACGGUAGGUGGCGAAUAAGCCUCGGCUAACUACGUGCCAGCAGCCGCGGUAAAACGUAGGAGGCAAGCGUUAUCCGGAGUUACUGGGCGUAAAGCGCGCGCAGGCGGUGCGUUAAGUCGGGCGUGAAAGCCCCGUGCUAAACGCGGGGAGGACGAACGAUACUGGCGAACUGGAGUCGAGCAGAGGGACAUGGAAUUCCGGGUGUAGCGGUGAAAUGUGCAGAUAUCCGGAGGAACACCAGAGGUGAAAACGGUGUCCUGGGCUCAGACUGACGCUGAGGCGCGAAAGCGUGGGGAGCGAACGGGAUUAGAGACCCCGGUAGUCCACGCUGUAAACGAUGCCAACUGGAUGCCUGUGAUCCGAAAGGGUUGUGGGUGUCGGAGCAAACGCGGUAAGUUGGCCAGAUCGGAAGAGCACACGUCUGAACUCCAGUCACUUAGGCAUCUCGU
rnacentral:rRNA from 1 species